UCCCGUCUUUCUUUCUUUCUUUCUUUCUUUCUUUCUUCUUUCCUUAUUUGCAUCCUCUAUAAUUCUUUUAAGAAGGCAGCCAGCAGCAGCAGCAAAAAGAAAA
rnacentral:ribozyme from 1 species